AACGAACGCUGGCGGCAUGCCUAACACAUGCAAGUCGAACGAGCCCUUCGGGUCUAGUGGCGCACGGGUGCGUCACCCGUGGGAACCUGCCCUUAGGUUCGGCAUAACUCCCCGAAAGGGGUGCUACUACCGGAUAAAGUCUUCGGACCAAAGAUUUAUCGCCCUUGGAUGGGCCCGCGUUGGAUUAGCUACUUGGUAGGGUAACAGCCUACCAAGGCGACGAUCCAUAGCUGGUCUGAGAGGAUGCUCAGCGACACUGGGACUGAGACACGGCCCAGACUCCUACGGGAGGCAGCAGGGUGGAAUAUUAGACAAUGGACGAAAGCCUGAUCCAGCAAUGCCGCGUGAGUGAUGAAGGCCUUAGGGUUGUAAAGCUCUUUUACCCGGGAUGAUAAUGACAGUACCGGGAGAAUAAGCUCCGGCUAACUCCGUG
rnacentral:rRNA from 1 species